UCAGUAGCAUAUUGGUUAGAGCACAGUCCCGACAAGAUUGAGACGCGGGUUCGAAUCCCGCCUGA
rnacentral:tRNA from 1 species